rnacentral:rRNA from 1 species
AGAGUGAACGCUGGCGGUAGGCCUAACACAUGCAAGUCGAACGGCAGCACGGUAAGAGCUUGCUCUUAUGGGUGGCGAGUGGCGGACGGGUGAGGAAUACAUCGGAAUCUACCUUUUGGUGGGGGAUAACGUAGGGAAACUUACGCUAAUACCGCAUACGCCCUUCGGGGGAAAGCCGGGGACCAGCAAUGGCCUGGUGCUGAUAGAUGAGCCGAUGUCGGAUUAGCUAGUUGGUGAGGUAAUGGCUCACCAAGGCGACGAUCCGUAGCUGGUCUGAGAGGAUGAUCAGCCACAC